AAACUGGUGGUCUCAUGGUUAGGAUUCUGCACUCUCACUGAUGUGGCCUCGGUUCAAUUCCUGGUCAGAGAA